rnacentral:rRNA from 1 species
UACGUAGGUGGCAAGCGUUGUCCGGAUUUAUUGGGUUUAAAGGGUGCGUAGGCGGUUUGUCGCGUCUGCUGUGAAAUCCCGAGGCUCAACCUCGGGUCUGCAGUGGGUACGGGCAGACUAGAGUGUGGUAGGGGAGAUUGGAAUUCCUGGUGUAGCGGUGGAAUGCGCAGAUAUCAGGAGGAACACCGAUGGCGAAGGCAGAUCUCUGGGCCAUUACUGACGCUGAGGAGCGAAAGCAUGGGGAGCGAACAGG